rnacentral:rRNA from 1 species
GACAGAGGGUGCAAACGUUGUUCGGAAUUACUGGGCGUAAAGCGAGUGUAGGCGGUGUGGUAAGUCGGAUGUGAAAGCCCCGGGCUCAACCCGGGAAGUGCACUCGAUACUGCCACGCUAGAGUAUCGGAGAGGUUGGUGGAAUUCUCGGUGUAGAGGUGAAAUUCGUAGAUAUCGGAGAGGAACACCGUGGCGAAGGCGG